ensembl:lncRNA
UAUAGCCAAUUGGUGGGAAGGAUAUAAUCUGUCAGCUUCACAUUCUCCUGCAUGCAAUUUUUAAGCUUCAGACUGUUUCCAUCCCAAAUAUGCAAUUCAUUAUGCUUGGUAAAGUUUUCAAAAAAAUCCAUCCCAAAUAUGCAAUUCAUUAUGCUUAGUAAAGUCUUCAAAAAAAUUUAAAAAGAAAGAAAGAAAGUUAAAUGCUCUCCUUUUUGCACUUAAAAAGAAAGAAAGAAAGAAAAUUAAAUUCUCUCCCUUUUUCAGUGACCGAACUCAACAGAUAAAGCUAUUCUCAGCAUUAAAAGGACCAUAUUGUGCCUGUUGCCAUCCACGUGUUAAAGAUGAAGCCGGUCAGGAGAAAAAGGAACCAUUGGUGCCUAACUCAGCAUUCCAGGAUCUGAGACUAGAGAGAUGAAUCUGCCUGUUUUCCAUAUCUUCCCCAUUCAACUAUUAUCAACCAGAAUCUGAUGAUCUCUCUUACACCAUCAGCAUAAAUUACCACAAGAAGGCUCUAGAUCUGCUUGGAUUAAACCCAGAAUAUUUGGAUGAGUUGUUAGAAAGAAAGAAAGAAAGAAAGAAAGAAAGAAAGAAAGAAAGAAAGAAAGAAAGAAAGAAAGAAAGAAAGAAAGAAAGAAAGAAAGAAAGAAAGAAAGAAAGAAAAAGAAAAAGUUUUAAAAACUGGAAAAGUCAUCCUGGCCCAAGGUACACUGCUUCAUUCUUAAAAAUAUAAUUACAGCCUAAGUAAGGAUGAAGGAAAGAAAUCACAGUCAAGAAUUGCAGGAAGGAAGGAAGGAAGGAAAGAAAGAAAGAAAGAAAGAAAGAAAGAAAGAAAGAAAGAAAGAAAGAAAGAAAGAAAGAAAGAAAGAAAGAAAGAAAAAGUUUUAAAAACUGGAAAAGUCAUCCUGGCCCAAGGUACACUGCUUCAUUCUUAAAAAUAUAAUUACAGCCUAAGUAAGGAUGAGGGAAAGAAAUCACAGUCAAGAAUUGCUCAAGACUACUGCUCUUUCUUCAGAAUGAGAACAUGAGCAUGGAUCUAGAUAACUCUAAAUCAAGAGUCUCAAACAGCAUGCUGCAGAGUAGAUGUGUGCACUGUCCUUAGGCCUGUAUUGUAAACUGGGACUUACUUCCAAGGACAUGAUAGGGUAGAGCAAAGAGCCCUGGGGCAUUCGUCGGGCAGAGCAGUAACCCCAUCCCCACCCCAAGAUCUUUCAUAUUAAAACCGGCAUUCAUACAGCUUUAACAAAUUCUCUCUUUUUUACAGUGUCAAGCAAUUAAAAGUGGAGAAAAGGAAUCAAAGAUAUCAACACCUUAUAAGGAAGAUGCUGAACCAGUGCCAAAGGAGAAGACUAAAAACUUCAUCCCCAUGGUAUGACCCAAGAUCUCUCCUGUGUAUGCCACAUGCUGUGGGGGGGUGUCUCUUGAGUGAGGUCACCAGGGUGUAAUAGUUAGUCUUUACCAUUUUUGUAUAACCACUAAGUGAGAGACCUCUGUCACUAUAGGAUACUACCUGGGCUUCACUUUCUCUACAUUUCUUCCCAUGCCUUUUGAAACCAGGGCUGUACUAGGGCUGAAUGUGCAUGUGUGUUUGUGCAGACAAACGCCUGCAUUCCGGUGUGGAUUUUGGGUGGUUUACUUAAGAACAUUAAAGUCUGUCUUUCUUCCCCCAUAAACGCUGGUUUCUCUUUUCUUGUCCUUGCAGUAGUGUCACUGCCAAAGUAACCUCUGUCUCC